UUUCCGUAGGUGAACCUGCGGAAGGAUCAUUAUUGUAUAACCGAGGUGCGAGGGCUGUCGCUGACCCGAAAGGUCGUGCACGCCCGAGUGCCCUCACACACAUCCAUCUCACCCCUAUGUGCACCACCGCGUGGGUCACCCUUUGGCUUGUUCGGAGGGGGGCUUACGUUUUCACACAAACUUUGUAUGCAGUGUAGAAUGUAUUUUUUGUUUUUGCGAUCACGCAAUCAAUACAACUUUCAACAACGGAUCUCUUGGCUCUCGCAUCGAUGAAGAACGAGC
rnacentral:misc_RNA from 1 species